rnacentral:rRNA from 1 species
UACGGGGGGGGCAAGCGUUGUUCGGAAUUACUGGGCGUAAAGGGCUCGUAGGCGGCCAACUAAGUCGGAUGUGAAAUCCCCAGGCUUAACCUGGGAACUGCAUCCGAUACUGGAUGGCUUGAAUCCGGGAGAGGGAUGCAGAAUUCCAGGUGUAGCGGUGAAAUGCGCAGAUAUCAGGAAGAACACCUAUGGCGAAGGCGGCUCUCUGGGACGGUACUGACGCUGAGACGCGAAAGCGUGGGGAGCGAACAGG